UACGGGGGGGGCAAGCGUUGUUCGGAAUUACUGGGCGUAAAGGGCUCGUAGGCGGCCAACUAAGUCGGAUGUGAAAUCCCCAGGCUUAACCUGGGAACUGCAUCUGAUACUGGAUGGCUUGAAUCCGGGAGAGGGAUGCAGAAUUCCAGGUGUAGCGGUGAAAUGCGUAGAUAUCUGGAGGAACACCGGUGGCGAAGGCGGCAUCCUGGACCAUUACUGACACUGAAAAGCGAAAGCCAGGGGAGCAAACGGG
rnacentral:rRNA from 1 species